rnacentral:rRNA from 1 species
AUGCUUAACACAUGCAAGUCGAACGGUAACAGGCCUUCGGGCGCUGACGAGUGGCGGACGGGUGAGUAACGCGUAGGAAUCUGCCUUAUAGUGGGGGACAACGUGGGGAAACCCACGCUAAUACCGCAUACGCCCUACGGGGGAAAGCGGGGGAUCGUAAGACCUCGCGCUAUGAGAUGAGCCUGCGUUAGAUUAGCUAGUUGGUAGGGUAAAGGCCUACCAAGGCGACGAUCUAUAGCUGGUCUGAGAGGACGAUCAGCCACACUGGGACUGAGACACGGCCCAGACUCCUACGGGAGGCAGCAGUGGGGAAUAUUGGACAAUGGGCGCAAGCCUGAUCCAGCAAUACCGCGUGUGUGAAGAAGGCCCUAGGGUUGUAAAGCACUUUCAAUGGGGAGGAAAACCUGCCGGUCAAUACCCGGUAGCUUGACAUUACCUAUAGAAGAAGCACCGGCUAACUCCGUGCCAGCAGCCGCGGUAAUACGGAGGGUGCGAGCGUUAAUCGGAAUUACUGGGCGUAAAGCGUGCGUAGGCGGUUCGUUAAGUCAGAUGUGAAAGCCCUGGGCUCAACCUGGGAACUGCAUUUGAAACUGACGGACUUGAGUUGAGUAGAGGGGAGUGGAAUUUCAGGUGUAGCGGUGAAAUGCGUAGAUAUCUGAAGGAACACCAGUGG